rnacentral:tRNA from 1 species
AUUUAAAUAGCUUAAUUAGAGCAUAAUAUUGAAGAUAUUAAGGUGGUUUAUAACCUUUAGAUA